rnacentral:rRNA from 1 species
AGAGUUUGAUCCUGGCUCAGGACGAACUCUGGCGGCGUGCCUAACACAUGCAAGUCGAGCGGGGAAUGUUGAAUAGCUUGCUAUUUGACAUUUCCAGCGGCGGACGGGUGAGUAACGCGUGAGCAACCUGCCUUUAUCAGGGGGAUAACGCAUCGAAAGAUGUGCUAAUACCGCGUAAGACCACAGCUUCACAUGGAGCAGGGGUCAAAGGAGCAAUCCGGAUAAAGAUGGGCUCGCGUCCGAUUAGCUAGUUGGUGAGAUAACAGCCCACCAAGGCGACGAUCGGUAGCCGACCUGAGAGGGUGAUCGGCCACAUUGGAACUGAGAGACGGUCCAGACUCCUACGGGAGGCAGCAGUGGGGAAUAUUGGGCAAUGGGCGAAAGCCUGACCCAGCAACGCCGCGUGAGGGAAGAAGGGUUUCGGUAUGUAAAACUCUAUCAGCAGGGAAGAUAAUGACGGUACCUGACUAAGAAGCACCGGCUAAAUACGUGCCAGCAGCCGCGGUAAUACGUAUGGUGCAAGCGUUAUCCGGAUUUACUGGGUGUAAAGGGUGCGUAGGUGGUAUGGCAAGUCAGAUGUGAAAGCACGGGGCUCAACCCCGUGACUGCAUUUGAAACUGUCAAACUAGAGUGCAGGAGAGGAAAGUGGAAUUCCUAGUGUAGCGGUGAAAUGCGUAGAUAUUAGGAAGAACACCAGUGGCGAAGGCGGCUUUCUGGACUGUAACUGACACUGAGGCACGAAAGCGUGGGGAGCAAACAGGAUUAGAUACCCUGGUAGUCCACGCUGUAAACGAUGAAUACUAGGUGUCGGAGGGUUAUACCUUCGGUGCCGUCGCAAACGCAUUAAGUAUUCCACCUGGGGAGUACGUUCGCAAGAAUAAAACUCAAAGGAAUUGACGGGGACCCGCACAAGCGGUGGAGCAUGUGGUUUAAUUCGAAGCAACGCGAAGAACCUUACCAGAUCUUGACAUCGGCAUGACCGGUGUUUCAAUGACACUUUUCCUUCGGGACAUGCUAGACAGGUGGUGCAUGGUUGUCGUCAGCUCGUGUCGUGAGAUGUUGGGUUAAGUCCCGCAACGAGCGCAACCCCUAUCUUUAGUAGCCAGCAAGUCAAGUUGGGCACUCUGGAGAGACUGCCCGGGAUAACCGGGAGGAAGAUGGGGAUGACGUCAAAUCAUCAUGCCCCUUACGAUCUGGGCUACACACGUGCUACAAUGGCGGAUACAAAGGGAUGCAAAGCCGUGAGGCCAAGCGAACCCCAAAAAGUCCGUCUCAGUUCGGAUUGUAGUCUGCAACUCGACUACAUGAAGCUGGAAUCGCUAGUAAUCGCGAAUCAGAACGUCGCGGUGAAUACGUUCCCGGGUCUUGCACACACCGCCCGUCA